UUAUCAGCAACAGGGGCCUGGUCGCCUAC
rnacentral:sRNA from 1 species